rnacentral:rRNA from 1 species
GUAAUGGCAGGUCAGCAUACUGCCGUGAAUACGUUCCCGGGCCUUGUACACACCGCCGUCACACCAUGAGAGUUGGGGAUACCCGAAGCCUGUGAGCUAACUAUUUAUAGGAGCAGCAGUCGAAGGUAGAAUCAAUGAUUGGGGUGAAGUCGUAACAAGGUAAC